AUCCCUUCUCAGCCUUUGGCUAAGAUCCAGUGUAGUAUCUGCUCUUAUCAGUUUGAUAUAAAGAGUUGAAAUGUUGCUUUAAGAGAUAAAACAGGAAACCAUAAGACAAAGAAGAGAGGUUGGGCCAGACAGCCCGGCAAGGGCCCUCUUCAUUUGCGUGAACGUGUGUCAUGGCCCAGUCAGU